AUUGAACGCUGGCGGCAUGCCUUACACAUGCAAGUCGAACGGUAACAGGUCUUCGGAUGCUGACGAGUGGCGAACGGGUGAGUAAUACAUCGGAACGUGCCUAGUAGUGGGGGAUAACUACUCGAAAGAGUGGCUAAUACCGCAUGAGAUCUACGGAUGAAAGCAGGGGAUCGCAAGACCUUGUGCUACUAGAGCGGCCGAUGGCAGAUUAGGUAGUUGGUGGGAUAAAAGCUUACCAAGCCGACGAUCUGUAGCUGGUCUGAGAGGACGAUCAGCCACACUGGGGCUUGGACACGGCCCAGACUCCUACGGGAGGCAGCAGUGGGGAAUUUUGGACAAUGGGCGCAAGCCUGAUCCAGCAAUGCCGCGUGCAGGAUGAAGGCCUUCGGGUUGUAAACUGCUUUUGUACGGAACGAAAAGCCCUGGGUUAAUACCCUGGGGUCAUGACGGUACCGUAAGAAUAAGCACCGGCUAACUACGUGCCAGCCGCCGCAGUAACAC
rnacentral:rRNA from 1 species